rfam:Pseudomonas sp. 20_BN genome assembly, contig: CONTIG000001
GUGGGCGUAGCUCAGUUGGUAGAGCACAGGAUUGUGGCUCCUGCGGUCGUGGGUUCGAACCCCAUCGUCCACC